rnacentral:rRNA from 1 species
UACGAAGGGGGCUAGCGUUGCUCGGAAUCACUGGGCGUAAAGGGCGCGUAGGCGGCGUUUUAAGUCGGGGGUGAAAGCCUGUGGCUCAACCACAGAAUGGCCUUCGAUACUGGGACGCUUGAGUAUGGUAGAGGUUGGUGGAACUGCGAGUGUAGAGGUGAAAUUCGUAGAUAUUCGCAAGAACACCGGUGGCGAAGGCGGCCAACUGGACCAUUACUGACGCUGAGGCGCGAAAGCGUGGGGCGCAAACAGG